rnacentral:rRNA from 1 species
CACUCCUACGGGAGGCAGCAGUGGGGAAUUUUGGACAAUGGGCGAAAGCCUGAUCCAGCAAUGCCGCGUGAGUGAAGAAGGCCUUCGGGUUGUAAAGCUCUUUUGUCAGGGAAGAAACGGUGAAAGCUAAUAUCUUUUGCUAAUGACGGUACCUGAAGAAUAAGCACCGGCUAACUACGUGCCAGCAGCCGCGGUAAUACGUAGGGUGCAAGCGUUAAUCGGAAUUACUGGGCGUAAAGCGUGCGCAGGCGGUUUUGUAAGUCUGAUGUGAAAUCCCCGGGCUCAACCUGGGAAUUGCAUUGGAGACUGCAAGGCUAGAAUCUGGCAGAGGGGGGUAGAAUUCCACGUGUAGCAGUGAAAUGCGUAGAUAUGUGGAGGAACACCGAUGGCGAAGGCAGCCCCCUGGGUCAAGAGUGACGCUCAUGCACGAAAGCGUGGGGAGCAAACAGGAUUAGAUACCCGAGUAGUCCCAUGA